rnacentral:lncRNA from 10 species
AGGCAGUCUGGAACCAGUGACAUUAAAGACCUGAACCCUGCACCUCAUCUUGGGACAAUUCUAAGGGCUACCUGAGUUCCACAUAUUAUCAAGGACUCAGCUGAAUCUUUUGAGUCUUGCUCUGUUGCCUAGGCUGAAGUGAAGUAGUGUGAUCUCGGCUCGCCACAACCUCUGCCUCCCAGGUUCAAGCGAUUCUCCUGCCUCAGCCUCCCGAGUAGCUGGAACUAUAGGUCAUCUAGGGGAAAACAGAAGUAUGAGGAUUGAGACUUCUUCUGAAAAUCAGUGAGUGGCUCUCUGCAGUGGUUACAGAAAUGCCCCAGCAUGGACUCCCUCCUGUAAACUGGCUCUGCUGUCCCAGCAGUGACGGAAAGCACUCAAUUUGUUUUCUCUUGGAAGAGA